rnacentral:lncRNA from 1 species
AGUGGAUGGAUCACAGAUGAGCUUCCACAAUGAGCAGGCUCCACCAGCAGGAUCUCUACUCCGAACCUCUUUCGGACUUCAUCAAGGACCGAGCUUCUCCAACGGCAGGACUUCUACGGUAAGCGGUCUACUCCAAACUUCUAUGACAACCGAUCUCCAUCCGGACUUCUACGGUAAGCGGACUCCUUCCAGACUCCUACAGGAACCGGACCCCGUCCGAACUUCUAUAGCGA